rnacentral:rRNA from 1 species
UACGUAGGGCGCAAGCGUUGUCCGGAAUUAUUGGGCGUAAAGCGCGUGUAGGCGGCUUUGCAAGUCGGGUGUGAAAGCCCUCAGCUCAACUGAGGAAGUGCGCCCGAAACUGCAGAGCUUGAAUACCGGAGAGGAUGGCGGAAUUCCCCAAGUAGAGGUGAAAUUCGUAGAUAUGGGGAGGAACACCGGUGGCGAAGGCGGCCAUCUGGACGGCUAUUGACGCUGAGACGCGAAAGCGUGGGGAGCAAACAGG